ensembl:lncRNA
GUGCAGCAGGUGACUGAGUCGCUGAGGGCUGUGUUCAUAGUGACGUGAGAUGAUCGGGAGGAUUAAAGGUUUCUAUCCCACAUGACGUGAAAUCAACCAACUAUUUGUGCGCAUCUUGCUGAGGUUCUCUGCCAGAUAGAAGCUCGUGUUGGAGGAACACCUGCUUCAUGCUGAUCGUUGUAUCACAACACGAGCCGGAGUCCUUCAGAGAGACUGAGGAGACCAAGGAGACCGAGGUGACCAAGGUGACCGAGGAGACCAAGGAGACCGAGGAGACCGAGGAGACCAAGGAGACCAAGGUGACCGAGGAGACUGAGGAGACUGAGGAGACCAAGGAGACCAAGGAGACCGAGGAGACCAAGGAGACCGAGGUGACCGAGGAGACUGAGGAGACCGAGGAGACUGAGGUGACCGAGGAGACUGAGGACAGUCUGACCUGCAGCUGCUGGUUCCAUCUCGUGGUUCUUUUUGGUCUUCCUGCCUUUUCCUUUUCCCUCCCCAGCGUGUGAAGUCCUCUUGUUCCUGCGCUACUUUUGGUUUGUCUUGGAUCACCGAGUAAAGAUUCUGAACCUGGAAAGAGUCUUUUCGUUGUGACCCCUCACAGGAACCCGUCCCCCCCUCGGAGGACUGAAGGGCUGCUUUGUGCCACCUACAGGACUUGAGGCUUAACUCAAUACAGGACCGACACCAGAAGACUUCACUAGUCACCUGAUAGUUUCCUGUUGCCCUGCAACUGGAAAAAUGACCCGAGCCCACAAAGACCACACAGAAAUAUACUUUUUCCAGCCAGAAAGUGGCUGAAACUUUAGAAAUAUUGAAUGUAGGAAUGUUUUGACUGACGUACUGAUUUCCCAUCAUAUGUGUAGGUUGAACAGAACCAGGCGUUCUGGAACCAUGAGCCCACAGAGUCUUACUGCUCUGACACACAUCGUGAGUCCUGAGACAAACAAACCAACUUGUCAUUUGCCUUUUGCAGAUUAUUUGAAUAAAAGCCGCCGAAGGGAAAAACCUGCUGUGACGUCAUUGACUCCAAACAGCACUAAAAGGAGUCGAGUAAAAACCUGGAACCAAGAGGAGCGAUGAAACAUAUUACUUCUCUGAAGGAGCUGAAUGUGCCACAAAAAUAACGUUCACCCUCAAAUGUAAACUGGCAGUUCUGACAUCGAACCGGGUCAAAGACUAAAAGCCCCGAUCAGCUUUAUUAUUAUAUAAGCUGAACUGUAUGAAACUAAAUGUGUCACUUUCACCCCCAAUAAACUCUUGAUGGGAGUCAAUGGGAACGUUGUGUUCUACGUCGGGUUCUACGUCGGGUUCCACGUCGUGUUCCACAUGCUAACUUGCCCAGCGCCUUAGUAUGAUGGCUGUGGUGCAGAAGGGAACAAACAUCUUGUUGUUCAUGUCGUCACAGUGAUUCAUGAUCAACGUGCGCCGACCUUCAUCUUCAUGGUUCCUGUGGUUUUAUUCUGUUAGUUCACGGCUUUGCUUUCACUGCAGCACCGACCCGUCUUCCCCUGUUUGAUGGACCUUUGUAACAACAAGGCGUGAAGAAGCGUGUUGCUGAAACAUGUGCAGAGACACACACACACACAGACACACACACACACACACACACACACACAGACUCACAGACUCACACUCCAGGUUUCAUACCUGCUGUUAGCAAAACGAGCAAACAAAGUACAGGAGACAAAUACCUGACCUGCUGCAUUCCUCACAUAGCGCACACACAGACACACACACACACACACACACACACUCACACACACACAGACACACACACACUCACACACACACACACACACACACACCCUCUCUCUCUCUCACUGGAUGCGGCCACUCUCUGAAUGCAGUAUCAGGGCUGUUAGCACAUUACAUAGAAUACGUGUGUGUGUGUGCGUGUGUGUGUGUGCGUGUGUGUGUGUGUGUGUGUGUGUUGGGGCAGACAGAACAAGGGUCCAGACUGAAGCCCCCCCCCUCUCUGUCUCUCAAGGCAACGAGUCCACAGACGGAUUAACAAUGUAAAUCUGGGAAUAUUGUUCUGUUCUUGAUUGGAACAACAAAAAGGUCCAAACCCAAAUAAUCCUCCCAACUGUGCUGAUACGAUAUCUUAUUAGCGCGCGGCGGUCGUUUGUUGUUGUUGAAGCAUAAAGACACAAAGACGUUUCCGUCUAACGAGGGACGCAAAGGGGACAGAAGGUCACUGUCAAAGUAAAAGCUUUUACAAUAACACAUUAACAAGGGACUUUUAUUGGGACGGAUUUACAGACAAAAGGGGGCUUAGCGCCGAAUUAGCAUAGCUUUGUUAGCGGCUAGCGGUUAGCUCUCAGGAGCUUGUGGUCAUUGGCUUUGAGGACUCACAGAUGGAAAUGUGUAUUUACACACUGCAGAGUAAAACG